CAGUCGUGAGGAAGGCGGGUACGUUAAUAGCGUAUUCGUUUGACGUUAGCGACAGAAGAAAGCACCGGCUAACUCCGUGCCAGCAGCCGCGGUAAUACGGAGGGUGCGAGCGUUAAUCGGAAUUACUGGGCGUAAAGCGCAUGCAGGUGGUUUGUUAAGUCAGAUGUGAAAGACCCGGGGCGUCAACCUCGGAAUAGCAUUUGAAACUAGGCAGACUAGAGUACUGUAGAGGGGGGUAGGAAUUUCAGGUGUAGCGGUGAAAUGCGUAGAGAUCUGAAGGAAUACCGGUGGCGAAGGCGGCCCCCUCGGACAGAUACUGACACUCAGAUGCGAAAGCGUGGGGAGCAAACAGGAUUAGAUACCCUGGUAG
rnacentral:rRNA from 1 species